CUUAAAAUCAGUUUUGAAAGGGCUCAAGUUGCUGAAUUUCAGCUUUUCAAAUAUGAGAGUGAAGUCUCCCCCUAUAUCAUUCAAAUGUUGCCAAUUUGACUUUUUGAAUUGCUCCCCCUUUCAUUUAUAAUUCAUUAAAGAUGAAACUCCAAAAAUUUGAGAUAAAAUAUGAGUUUCAGGUUAUGUAUCGAGGUGUGAAAGGUGCGUGCCAAAUUCUGAAAUUUUAUGUGCCAAAUUCUGAAAUUUGAUAGAAAUAUUUAAUUUGAUCAUUUUCAUUGUUACAAAUUGCUCCCCCUUGGAUGUAUAUGAUUUUCAAUUUGUUUUACAAGUUAUUUCUCUUUCUUUCUUUACUUCUCCUCUUAUUGCUCUAUCUUUACUUCUCCC
rnacentral:lncRNA from 1 species